rnacentral:rRNA from 1 species
UACGUAGGGUGCAAGCGUUGUCCGGAAUUACUGGGCGUAAAGCGCGUGUAGGCGGGUAAUCAAGUCAGAUGUGAAAGCCCUGGGCUCAACCCAGGAACUGCAUUUGAAACUGGUUGCCUUGAGUGUUGGAGAGGGAAGCGGAAUUCCUGGUGUAGAGGUGAAAUUCGUAGAUAUCAGGAGGAACACCGGUGGCGAAGGCGGCUUCCUGGACAACUACUGACGCUGAGACGCGAAAGCGUGGGGAGCAAACAGG